rnacentral:rRNA from 1 species
UACGGAGGGGGCUAGCGUUGUCCGAAGUUACUGGGCGUAAAGCGCGCGUAGGCGGUCUGUUGCGUCCGCUGUGAAAACCCGGGGCUUAACCCCUGGCUUGCAGUGGAUACGGACAGACUAGAGGUAGGUAGGGGAGAAUGGAAUUCCCGGUGUAGCGGUGAAAUGCGCAGAUAUCGGGAGGAACACCGGUGGCGAAGGCAGGUCACUGAGCCGCAACUGACGCUGAGGAGCGAAAGCGUGGGGAGCGAACAGG